rnacentral:rRNA from 1 species
GGGACGGAGAAGGCUAUGUUGGCCGGGCGACGGUUGUCCCGGUUUAAGCGUGUAGGUGUGUGUUCCAGGUAAAUCCGGUUCACUUUAACACUGAGGCGUGACGACGAGGCACUACGGUGCUGAAGCAACAAAUGCCCUGCUUCCAGGAAAAGCCUCUAAGCAUCAGGUAACAUCAAAUCGUACCCCAAACCGACACAGGUGGUCAGGUAGAGAAUACCAAGGCGCUUGAGAGAACUCGGGUGAAGGAACUAGGCAAAAUGGUGCCGUAACUUCGGGAGAAGGCACGCUGACACGUAGGUGAAGUGAUUUACUCAUGGAGCUGAAGUCAGUCGAAGAUACCAGCUGGCUGCAACUGUUUAUUAAAAACACAGCACUGUGCAAACACGAAAGUGGACGUAUACGGUGUGACGCCUGCCCGGUGCCGGAAGGUUAAUUGAUGGGGUCAGCGCAAGCGAAGCUCCUGAUCGAAGCCCCGGUAAACGGCGGCCGUAACUAUAACGGUCCUAAGGUAGCGAAAUUCCUUGUCGGGUAAGUUCCGACCUGCACGAAUGGCGUAAUGAUGGCCAGGCUGUCUCCACCCGAGACUCAGUGAAAUUGAACUCGCUGUGAAGAUGCAGUGUACCCGCGGCAAGACGGAAAGACCCCGUGAACCUUUACUAUAGCUUGACACUGAACAUUGAGCCUUGAUGUGUAGGAUAGGUGGGAGGCUUUGAAGUGUGGACGCCAGUCUGCAUGGAGCCGACCUUGAAAUACCACCCUUUAAUGUUUGAUGUUCUAACGUGGACCCGUAAUCCGGGUUGCGGACAGUGUCUGGUGGGUAGUUUGACUGGGGCGGUCUCCUCCUAAAGAGUAACGGAGGAGCACGAAGGUUGGCUAAUCCUGGUCGGACAUCAGGAGGUUAGUGCAAUGGCAUAAGCCAGCUUGACUGCGAGCGUGACGGCGCGAGCAGGUGCGAAAGCAGGUCAUAGUGAUCCGGUGGUUCUGAAUGGAAGGGCCAUCGCUCAACGGAUAAAAGGUACUCCGGGGAUAACAGGCUGAUACCGCCCAAGAGUUCAUAUCGACGGCGGUGUUUGGCACCUCGAUGUCGGCUCAUCACAUCCUGGGGCUGAAGUAGGUCCCAAGGGUAUGGCUGUUCGCCAUUUAAAGUGGUACGCGAGCUGGGUUUAGAACGUCGUGAGACAGUUCGGUCCCUAUCUGCCGUGGGCGCUGGAGAACUGAGGGGG